rnacentral:tRNA from 1 species
GGAUAAGUGACUGAGUGGUCGAAAGUAACAGUUUUGAAAGCUGUAGUAUUGAAAAAUACCGUGGGUUCGAAUCCCACCUUAUCUU